UACGUAGGGUGCAAGCGUUAUCCGGAUUUACUGGGUUUAAAGGGUGCGUAGGUGGGUCUGUAAGUCAGUGGUGAAAUCUCCGGGCUUAACCCGGAAACUGCCAUUGAUACUAUAGAUCUUGAAUAUCCUGGAGGUGAGCGGAAUAUGUCAUGUAGCGGUGAAAUGCUUAGAUAUGACAUAGAACACCAAUUGCGAAGGCAGCUCACUACGGGAUUAUUGACACUGAGGCACGAAAGCGUGGGGAUCAAACAGG
rnacentral:rRNA from 1 species